AUUGAACGCUGGCGGCAGGCCUAACACAUGCAAGUCGAGCGAGCGGCGGACGGGUGAGUAAUGUAUGGGGACUGCCCGAUAGAGGGGGAUAACUACUGGAAACGGUGGCUAAUACCGCAUACUAUCGGAUAACCCAUAUGGGAUUAGCUAGUAGGUGGGGUAAAGGCCCACCUAGGCGACGAUCUCUAGCUUGUCUGAGAGGAUGAUCAGCCACACCGGGACUGAGACACCGCCCAUACUCCUACGGAGGCAGCAGUGGGGAAUAUUUCACCAUUGGCGUAAGCCUUAUGCAGCCAUGCCGCGUGUAUUAAGAAGGCCUUAGGGUUGUAAAGUUCUUUCAGCGGGGAGGCGUUACCCGCAGAAGAAGCACCGGCUAACUCCGUUCCAGCAGCCGCGGUAAUUC
rnacentral:rRNA from 1 species